GCCUUCGUGGUGUAGUGGUUCUGCACGCUGGGCCAGUAUUCCAGAGGUCCGUGGUUCGAUUCCAGGCGAAGGCG
rnacentral:tRNA from 1 species